GAUUUCUCCACCCGAAACAGCUCCCUUCGAUCCAUUUCCCUCUCUCUCCUUCAAUCAGGCUUCAGAGAAAUAUAGGUUUGAGCAGUCGUUUGAACACACAAGCCUGUUUAUUGAGAAGCUGGAGAAAGUGUUGGAAUACUACCAUAGGCACGUUGUUCUUCACAAAAAGGGGAUAGAAGUGCCAGUUCUUUCACCCUAUUGCCAUGUGUGGAUGGAGGGUAUGUGCCGAAUCUUAUGCCAAUCGUCUCCCCCGUCUUCUCGAAGCCUUUCUUUGAAUUCAUCGGCCAUCUCCCACAACUCCAGUUUCUUGA